UGUACAAUGUGAAAGGAAAUGAGAGAAUAAUAGUUGCAUAGCUGAAAUCAAGUUCCUCACUGCUCUACUUUGAUGUGAGCUACCCCUUUAUUCUAUGAGUUUGUAUUUAUUUCCACAAGAGUUGUUGUAAAAACACUUAUGUACAUACAUUUUACUUAUCUCACAUGUGUACAGGUAAAUAAGUGGGAUUUAAAUCAGGAAUCAAAUACAUUUCCAGUGCUUGAUUCAUUUGAUUUAAUUUAAUUUAUUUAGAUCCGUAUUUCAUACAAAGUGUGAAUUGGCCUAAUGUUGACAUGGAUCUCCCAGGGUACUGAAUUUUUGAACCAUUCCAACUUUCGUUGAUUGGAUGCUAUUUAUAUUCCCUGUUGUCGAGGACCUUCGAAGGCGGGCAGGCAAACUGUUCUCUAAAAAGUAAACAGCUGUGAGUGUGGUUUUCAUUGGAUUUGGAGCUGCAUAUAACUUCAUGUUUUACAAGAAGAAUCUUUAAGCAACAAAUGAUCUGAAGACAAAAGAGUUAGGUAUCCAGAAGGGAACAACACUGAUGCUGAUGAGGCUUCUCCCGGUAACGGAUAUGACACUUUGUGCAUCUGAAGCUACUCUAAUGGCCAUUUCUAUACCACAGCUGAAUGCUGAAUGCAGAGAUAUGGUCUGCAAGUUAUCGCUGUUCUAUCAAAUUGAAAUCAAGUCUGAUGAUUGAGAAGGGAAUUAUUCAGUCCUGGUUGACAGAUCAACUUUUGCUGAGUUUCUAAUUGUCCAAUCUGAUGAAUGUUACAAGCUGAGAAGUAAGAAUAUCUGGUUGACAAAUCCAUCAGAAACAAAAGCUGGAACACAAUACAGUACAUUUACUGCUACAGUGACUGUAGGAUUCAUGCCUGUGUAAAUGUUAGAGAACCAGACAACAUUUUAAUGCUAGCUGAAGAAUAGAUUGCCUUUAGGCUUGCAUUUCAAUUAACUGGUUAGCUUUUAGUCAAAAUAUUUUCAUCUCGAAAUGUUCUAUUGAGUUGGAUGUCAAAGGUGAAACUUUACUGGUCGUGAUAUAGAUUUCAAAUUAUAUUACGUUCUGACAAUCACUUUUUCCUCUUUGCAGUUAC